GCGUUUAUAGUUAAAUGGUAUAAUCAUAGCUUUCCAUGCUGCAGUUGUGAGUUCGAUUCUCACUAAACGCU
rnacentral:tRNA from 1 species